AGUGAACGCUGGCGGUAGGCCUAACACAUGCAAGUCGAACGGCAGCACAGUAAGAGCUUGCUCUUACGGGUGGCGAGUGGCGGACGGGUGAGGAAUACAUCGGACUCUACUUUUUCGUGGGGGAUAACGUAGGGAAACUUACUCUAAUACCGCAUACGCCCUACGGGUGAAAGCAUGGGAUCUUCGGACCUUGCGCGGUUGAAUGAGCCGAUGUCGGAUUAGCUAGUUGGCGGGGUAAAGGCCCACCCAGGCGACGAUCCGUAGCUGGUCUGAGAGGAUGGUCAGCGACACUGGAACGGAGACACGGUCCAGACUCCUAAGGGAGGCAGCAGUGGGGAAUAUUGGACAAUGGGCGCAAGCCUGAUACAGCCAGACCGCGUGGGUGAAGAAGGCGUUCGGGGUGGAAAGACCUUUUGUGGGGAAAGAAAAGCAGCAGGUUAAGACCCCGCGGUUCUGACGGUACCCAAAGAAGAAGCACCGGCUAACUUCGUG
rnacentral:rRNA from 1 species